rnacentral:rRNA from 1 species
AUACGUAGGGGGCAAGCGUUAUCCGGAAUUACUGGGCGUAAAGGGUGCGUAGGUGGCCUGAUAAGUCAGGGGUCAAAGGCAACGGCUCAACCGUUGUAAGCCCCUGAAACUAUCGGGCUUGAGUUCAGGAGAGGAAAGCGGAAUUCCAAGUGUAGCGGUGAAAUGCGUAGAUAUUUGGAGGAACACCAGUGGCGAAGGCGGCUUUCUGGACUGAUACUGACACUGAGGCACGAAAGCGUGGGGAGCAAACAGGAUUAGAUACCCUGGUAGUCCACGCUGUAAACGAUGAGUACUAGGUGUUGGCCCUAAGGGUCAGUGCCGCAGUUAACACAUUAAGUACUCCGCCUGGGAAGUACGCUCGCAAGAGUGAA